rnacentral:rRNA from 1 species
UACGUAGGGACCAAGCGUUGUUCGGAUUUACUGGGCGUAAAGGGCGCGUAGGCGGCGUGGUAAGUCACUUGUGAAAUCUCUGAGCUUAACUCAGAACGGCCAAGUGAUACUGCUGUGCUAGAGUGCAGAAGGGGCAAUCGGAAUUCUUGGUGUAGCGGUGAAAAUGCGUAGAUAUCAAGAGGAACACCUGAGGUGAAGACGGGUUUGCUGGGCUGACACUGACGCUGAGGCGCGAAAGCCAGGGAGCAAACGGG